CCUUUUUCUCUUUCAGUAAACUAGGCUAGUGUUCUCUUCGGUGAGACUAAAUGGAGAAAACUAGCAGGCCGUGCUGAGCCGAUAAUCAUGAUACUAAAACAUCUGAGAAGUGAGAAAGCUCGAGCUCACUCAAAAGAUGUGUGGAUGUGGUGGUUUUGGAGCUGUUGGAAGUCACAGAGUUGUUGAAGGAGCUGGGCUGAGUAAAGGAAAGGAAAGUAACUAACUACUUUUGCUGUUGAGUAAUUAGUAAGUAUCUCCCACCCCCAUCAUUAGUGUCACACGGACCUACACUUAAAGGCUGAUCAUUCACAAAUUGCUGCAUCAGAUAUCCCAUCUAACCAGUGAUCAAUGAUCUAAAUGGCUAUUAAACUUUUCUGAUGUGGCGGUGGAAUGAAGAGCCCUAAGACUGUAAUUGUAGUAUCAGCGGUACAGGAGGGGCUUUGCUCAAGCUCUGACCUACAUCACAGAUUGUGGCUGUAGUUUGGCGUGAAAAGCAUGGCUACAUAUUUUACGGAGGAGUAUGACGCAGCAUCAUGGUACUGAGCAGACAUGCAGUAGAAGCUACAGAGGAUGGAAUCAUCCCAUUUGCCUGAUCAUAACUUAAUGGCCAGUGCUGGCUUAGCUCAACUGUCCUGGUGCCAGUAAUUGUUCCUCAUCUGGUGUAAUUGCAGGCACAGUGAGAUUCAGAGUGGAUUUCCUGGUGUCUUUCAAAAUUUAGGGGGCGUUUUGCCACUCUAACAACCCAUCACAUUGGAUUACAUGGUUUGAGAUUCUACUGGAGCAAAAAAAAAAAUGUGUGCUGCGUUUUUCAGUUUGAGUGCAGUAUUAACUGCCAUGCGCUUUCUGGAGGAUCCAACCUCAUCAUCCCAACCCAUCAGUCCAAAAAGCUUCAAGAUCCUGAGAGGAAAAUCUCCUCGAAAAGACUUUCUUUGCAAGUUGGGUGUUACACAGUUCAUGGCACAGUGUCUCUGCGGAUAUGAUGGAUGUUUGUUCUUGAACACAGCUUCAUUCUGCAGUCUGUAAAACCUGCAGUGCUUUUCAUUUUUUUGGCGUUUACUUCUUUGUUGAUUUGUUUCUGAAUUAAUGGUUCAUUAUGGCCAGUUUCAGCCAUUGUAUGAGAAGGGUGUGUCACCCUGCCUUGAAGAAUUUCAUUUUCAGUGGACAGCUUUUCUGUGACUCUCAGUAGAGAGCUUGAAUAUCUCAUGAUGCUCCAAAAGCCAUUUCAGAGCUGCUAAAAUUGAAGAAAGAAUUGUAUCACUUUUGACCUUCAAAAAGCUGCACCAGUGUCUAACCAUGAAGAGCUGCAUAUAAGCUGAAGCUUUAGCAAAUCCAAAAGAAAAAGAACAAAAUAAACUCUGGACACAGAGAAAACAAACAAAAACUUCUUCUGGGCUUCUAAAGAUGAGAGGGCAUUUUCUUUCGUCAGCUCUCUCAACUGAAAUGAUGAGCAAAAGAUUGCUCUGCUAAAUGUAAUGAGGCAUCACACUUUCACCUCCACAGAAGCUAGACCUAAUGGAAGUCAUUGGCUAAACGCAUUCCAGAGUAAAUUAGAUGACUUCUUGGUUAGUGGGGCUUUUGUUUGGCACAUAAUUGAUAGGAAAGGUGGUUAAAGGCAUCCAUUUCCCCCCUGAGGGCAGCAUAAUUACAAAAAAAUCUAAUAAGGAAGAGAGGAAAGGACAGAGUUUCUAUCAUAGGGGUGUGCACGCUCAAGGUCUGUAUUCAGAUCACAUGCGGUAGAGAAGCAACACAGAGCCGGGUGAUCCAGAUAUAUCAGAUCAUGCAAAAACCUCUCUCAAAAUUGAACACCAUUGGCACAAUGGGUAUGAAUUCACCACAAUAUAUGAUGCAUUCAUUUCCACUAAGUUAAUGUCUUUAUGACUAUCUGCUGCCAUCUCCAUUAAAUCACUCAGCAAGAGAACCUGGGAGACAAGGAUCCACCACCAGGGACGGACUCCAUCUGAAUACACAGCUGCUCUGUGCUUUUGCAAAUGAAUGAAAUAUUUACAAUCAACUUUGCACUGAUGCCUCCUAAUUUACUCUGAUUGAUUGAAUACCUGCACAUGUCUAUUUCACAUGAGCCAGGGGAGAUUAAAAAAAAAAAAAAUAAGCGAAGUCAUUAACAAAUAUGGGCAGAUCUUAAUGUCUGUAUUUCAAGUAGGAGUAAUUGUUCGGUAUUGAUUGUGCCAUAACUCUGCAUUAUCUAAGGUGAGUGAGUAAUGUGUCCCAUUGCAAAUUAUGCAUUAAGGUUUCAAAUAAAAAGACAUUUCAUGUAAUUGCCUCCCAACUCAAUCUCAACAGCUGUACAUUAACAUUCAUGAAAGAAUUGGUUGAUUGCGUAUUCUUCUGAGAUGUUUCUUCCAUUUCAUUUCAAACACAGCCUUGCAGGCAAAAAAAAAAAAAAGAGUAGCCACUUCACACGUGUGUGUCACACUGUGCAUGUAUGAAUAAGAAAGCAUGAUUAGAACUGUGGCUAAUGUCACAUUUGAAUGCUGGAGGACAACAUAUAGCAAUGAAUAAAAGAGGGAGUUCCAUGUGAAUAAAUAUGUCUGCUUGUGAAAUGUCACUCAAGUGACAGGCACUUCAUGCCCAAUGUGAAGGUUUUCACACAAAACAUAAAAACUGGAAUUUCACAUUCACUUAUAAUCUCUUCUGAUGAUUUUUUUAUUUUUUUAUUUUUUACAUAUUAUAUAUCUGUUUACCACAGUAGAACUAAACAUCUGGGCAGGACGCUCUGUAGACAUUAUACAGCUGUGUAUUUUCAUGCGAAAAAUCACUGAAUCCCUGGAAGACAGCAGGACGCCCCCAGUGACUCCCUCCAACAUUAAACACGGCUGCAUCCCUCAACUGCUGCCUAACGCAGGGGCAGGAGAGUAAGUGCACUUAAAAGAAAGGGGAGCAGCGAUCCAUUUCUCAACCCCAUCAUCAGCCAGGCAUAUCCCCAGACCCUCAUCCUAGAUACAGCCACAAACACAUGACAGAAGGUCAAGGAUGGGGAGCAGGAAACACUCAGGCAGGCUUUUUACAUAUAUUUUUUUUAUGCUAUUCAAUCCAUUUCACAGCCUUUUCGGAAAAGCAACUGCCUGUUCAAUGUAAUUGCCACUCUGGUUUAAUCAAAAGGGGUUUUCGAAGCAAAUGGUGCUACAUCUCAACCCUGCAAUGCCAUGCUGGACAUUGCUUCAUUAUAGAAUAAUGACUGCAUGGCUUCAAAGACAUGUUUCACCUCUCAUUUGGCUAUUGCUCAAAAUAUGUGCAAAGGAUCUAUAAAUAAACGUGAAUAAAGGGGAGAAUGACUACAAUCCCUGCUGAAUAGUAGGAUACUUUGAAGAUGGAGCAGGCUGAGCA